ACUUAAAUUUUAAGCUUCUACACCUAAAAAUAAUUUUAAUCCAACAUCGAGGUCGCAAACUUUUUUAUAAAUAUGAACUUUUAAAAAAAAUUACGCUGUUAUCCCUAAGGUAAUUUAAAUUUCUAAUCAAUAAAAUAGGAUCAAUUAUUCAUUAAUUUAUGUUUUUUAAUAAUAAAAGGUUUUUAAAUUUUAUUGUCACCCCAACAUAAUAUUAAAAAUUAUAAAAAUUUAACUUUUCAUAAAAAUUUAUAUAAUUAUUAAUAUAAAACUCUAUAGGGUCUUCUCGUCUUUUAAUUAUAUUUAAGCAUUUUAACUUAAAAUUUAAAUUUUACUAUAAUUUUUAUGAUACAGUUUAUAUUUCGUUCAACCUUUCAUACAAGUUUUCAAUUAAAAAACUAAUGAU
rnacentral:rRNA from 1 species